CGUGACGUAUGCUGAGGGGACACUGGCUUAGACAAGCCUGCUCGGCCUUUUGGGUGUGACACUCAGCUGAUGGCCCUUCUCUUUCCUCCCACAGGCAAUGACACGCCAUCCAAAUGCGUCCUGCAUCCAUCCUCCCCACAGGAGAGCGAAAACAUCACGGCGGCAGCCCUGGCCACGGGCGCCUGCGUCGUGGGCAUCCUGUGCCUCCCGCUCAUCCUGCUCAUGGUCUACAAGCAGAGGCAGGCAGCCUCCCACCGCCGUGAGUACUGCCCGCGGGGCGGGGCUGGGCGGGGAGUGGCCACUGGGCCCAGG
rnacentral:lncRNA from 1 species